GUCCCAGGCUGAGGUAGACCCCGGGCUGGGGGUGAUCGCGGCCCCAGUGUGAGGGGGUCCCGGUCUGAGGGGGUCCUGGGUCAGUGUGGGGGAUGUGGGUCCCUGCCUGAGGUGGGGGGAUCUGAUCUGAGGGGGGUCCUGGAGCCGGUCCCGGUCUGAGGGGGUCCUGGACCUGGUCCUGGUCUGAGGGGGUCCCUGUUAGAGGGGAUCCCGGGCCCAAGGAAGAUUUGGGUCCCUGCCUGGGGUGGGGGGAUCCAGUCUGAGGAGAGCCCAGGUUUGAAGGGGGUCCUGCUUUGGGGGGGUCCCAAUCUGAGGGGGUCCCGAUCCCUGUCCCGGCCCCGCUCCGUGGCACAGCCCCUUGUACCCCCACUCCUCGGAGCCUCACCCAGCCCCGAGCGGGGCCCUCCCGGACCUGUGGGGUCCCCCCAGAGCUUGUGGGGCUCCCCCAGGGCCUGGCCUGGCCUCCACCAAGGUGCCCAGGGCUGGUCACAGCCCACGGCUGCCCCUCCACGGCGCUGCCCCCGUGGGAUCCACGGCCACCCAGGGCUGAGGGGUCCCCAGGGCGAUGGCUCUGGGGGGGGUGGCUCUGGGGCCGGUGACCCCCAAGGGGGACGUGCAGCCAUCACCGACCUUUUCUCUGGGAAUCUCGGUAAAUACGUCAGCUUUGGGGUGGAGAAAUCUCUUGUGCUCCCUCUUGGGGGAUUUGGGGUCUGGGAGGGAUGCGGUGGAGCCCCGAGGCCGAGCAACGGGCACGGGAGGCAGGGUUUGUGCUGCCUGGGGUCGUUCUCCUUCACGCACGGCAUCUGUGGGUUUGCGCAGCAGCUCCUGUCCCUCGUGCAGCCGAAGGCUUUGGCUUUCCUCCCGGUGCCACGGCCAGCCGGUUGGGAAGGGACAAGCGGACGGCAUGCUGCGUGAUCGCUGCGGGACGGUCUCGGUGCUUCACGGGGCCAGGAGGACGACAGCUGAGCGGCCUUCCAGUCUGGAGGACAAAAGUAACCGGAGCAGGAUCCAGUGGCUGGCGGCUGGCAGAGGACGACUGGGAUUUGGAAUCAGGUGCAGGCCGCUGGAGUGACUCCCCGAGGCGGAUUAACCCGCUCAGAUGUACUGCAUGUUCUCCGGGGGGGCGAGCAGCAGGCUGGCAGGCGACUGGGUCGGAGAGGACAUCUGGAGCAGCCGGUGGAGAAGCUUCCCGGGGGCUGCAGGAGCGCAGGGACGACCGGAGAGGGCAAGGAACGUGCUCCGUGGCACCAGGAGAUGCCGAGGAGACUGGGGAGCUGACGCACAGCCAGGCUUCGGCAGCGAAGGAUCGAGCCUUGCGCAGAGCUCCGGGAGGGACUCGAGUUUCUUUGAAACCUGGAAGCCCCUCAAAGCUGCUGAAAUUGAAGUCGAAGGACAAAAUUCGCUCUUCAAGGGCGCAGUGGAAGGAGACUUGUGUGAAAAAUUACCCUGCUGAAGCUACACUAAUCGCAGCAUGCAGUACGUAUACUUGCAAGCACAGUAGGCAAAGUCUGACCCUGCCAGAUAUCCGAUCUGGCCUGAGAGCUGCUGUGCCGUGGUCUCUGCUGACAGAGGUCCCUGGCACACGUCCCCGUGGGAUCAGAGGAGCCCCCCACGAGGUGGGCACACCGCUGGUGCCUCCGCGUGCUGCCAGACGAAUCCCAACUUCCCAACAGGUUUCUGUCGCCGUGGAAUUAGAGCAGCACAAACGGAAUGUCAUACAAGAUGGUGUCAAAAGCUUUAUGAAAAUCCCUGUGUAUGGCAUCUUCCCGGUGACAUCGAGAGGAUUCUUGAAGACAACUGCUGAGUGCUCUGGAUCUGCGGGUUCAGGAGUCCUCCAUGAUCGAGCCCAGCUCAUCUAAAAAAUAACUCAUCUAAGGACUUUCUGAUCUGUUGCCUCCUUCCGUCAUACCGCUGAAGAUUUCACACUUCUGUCGCUGGGGCUCGCGGGAGUAGCUCCCUUUUUAGUAAAGGCAAAAAAGCAAAAGGAGCGUCGUGCUUGUGACUGUCACCUCCCAGCACCAGUGCUGCGUGGCGGAGCGCUGGACCGCCUCUCACCUUCGCCCUCUGCUUACUGACAGAGCAGCUCCGUCCUCUGAGGCUGUAUAUCCUUUGGAGCCCAGACCUACAGACUUUGUCCCCAGUUCCUCGUGCUUUUCUUAACCGUCCAUCCCAAGUAACCGGAAGUAUUUUUUUUUUUCUUUUCUCUUCUUUUCACUUCUGCCCCACGUUUGAAGCCAAUGCGAAGUUUGUGGUUUUGAAAAGUUGAUCUUUUAAUAAAUUUCGACCACUUCUUCUUCA
rnacentral:lncRNA from 1 species